ensembl:lncRNA
AGGCAAGCGAAAUAUAUGCUUGUGAAUUUUUGGCUGCUUUUUUAUGCUGUAUUUUCAGAUCAAUUUUAUCCCAGUUAAUGUGAAUAUAAACUCUGAUUGUUAUGGCUAUCUCUCGUAGGGUUUCUAUUAUUUUGUCAGAAAUUGUAUCAGGAACUUUAUAUCAAUCACUAAAUUACACAUUUCCAAGCUGCAUAUGAAUUAGGUAUUACUAUGAUCAUUUUACAGAUGAAGAAGAUGAGACUCAGAGCAAUACAUAAGUUGCCCAAGGUCAGAGAGCAAUGACCAUAUCAGAGCACAGUGUACUCCUCUUGCCGUAUUCAGAGGAUUUGCCUAUGGGCAGCAACAUUAUUCUCUCGUUCUCUGGAUAUUAGGAACAAUAUCACAGGACCGGCGGACAGCCCCAGUCAUAUCUGAAAAUAUCACAGCACGGUGUACUCCUCUUGCCGUAUUCAGAGGAUUUGCCUAUGGGCAGAAACAUUCCCCUCUCCUUCUCUGGAUAUUAGAAACAUUAUCACAGGACCGGCAAACAGCCGCAGUCAUAUCGUGAGUAAUGUCAUCUGUAAUCCCCUAGUUAUAAAAAACAACAUCAAGGGGGUCUUGUGCACUUUAUGAGAUACUUAGAGUAAUGUUAGGAUUUGGGUAAUUUACAUGAGGGAGAAUAUUGAGUUGGUGUAUACACUCCAAAACACAGUAGAAAAGGGCAUUGUAUAUUUUUUCUGACAGAUUAUAUUGAGAGCAAUUUUGCUUUUAACAUUGGGGUACCUAGAUAAUAUUUAGAUUUUUUUCGAUUAGCGUAAAUUUAGAAUUUCAGUAUUUUACACAAGAGAGCAUAUUGAAUUGGUGUAUAUACUCCAAAACAGAGUAGAAUAGGGCAUUGUAUAUUAUUUCUGACAGAUCAUAUUCAGAGCAAAUUUGCUUUUAACAUUGGGUUGCCUAGAUAAUAUUUAGAUUUUUUUCGAUUCGCGUAAAUUUAGAAUUUCCAUAUUUUAAAUUAUAGAGCAUAUUGAGUUGGUGUAUAUACUCCAAAACAGAGUAGAAAAGCGCAUUUUAUAUGUUUUCUGACAGAUAAUAUUCAGAGCAAUGUUACUGUUAACAUUGGGGUGCCUAGAUAAUAUUUAGAUUUUUUUCGAUUAGCGUAAAUUUAGAAUUUCAGUAUUUUACAUGAGAGAGCAUAUUGAGUUGGUGUAUAUACUCCAAAACAGAGUAGAAAAGUGCAUUGUAUAUUAUUUCUGACAGAUUAUAUUCAGAGUAAUUUUGCUUUUAACAUUGGGGUGCAUAGAUAAUAUUUAGAAUUUUUUCGAUUCACGUAUAAUUAGAAUUUCGGUAUUUUACAUGAGAGAGCAUAUUGAGUUGGUGUAUAUACUCCAAAACAAAGUAGAAUAGCGCAUUGUAUAUUUUUUCUGACAGAUUAUAUUCAGAGAAAUUUUGCUUUUAACAAUGGUGUGCCUAGAUAAUAUUUAGAUUGUUUCGAUUCACGUAAAAUUAGAAUCUCGGUAUUCUACAUGAGAGAGCAUAUUGAGUUGGUGUGUAUAAUCAGAAACAGUGCAGAAAAGGGCAUUGAAUAUUUUUUCUGACAAAUUAUAUUCAGAGAAAUUUUGCUUAUAACAUUGGGGUGCCUAGAUUAUAUUUACAUUUUUUUCGAUUCGUGUAAAUUAGAAUUUCGGUAUUUUACAUGUGAGAGCCCAUUGAGUUGGUGUAUAUACCCCAAAACAGAGUAGAAUAGGGCAUUGUAUAUUUUUUAUGACAGACUAUAUUCAGAGCAAUUUUUAUUUUAACAUUGCUGUGCCUAGGUAAUAUUCAGAGUUUGUUCGAUUCACGUGAAAUUAGAAUUUCAGUAUUUUACAUGAGAGAGCAUAUUGAGUUGGUGUAUAUACUCCAAAACAGAGUGAAAAAGAGCAUUGUAUACUUUUUCUGACAGAUUAUAUUCAGAGAAGUUUAGCUUUUUACGUUGGGGUUCUUACAUAUUAUUUAGAUUUUUUUCGAUUGGCGUAAAAUCAGAAUUUCCGUAUUUUACAAGAGAGAGCAUAUUGAGUUGGUGUGUAUACUCCAAAACAGAGUAGAAUAAGGCAUUGUAUAUUUUUUUGACAGAUUAUAUUUAUAGCCAUUUUCUUUUAACCUUGGGGUGCCUAGAUAAUAUUUAGAAUUUCUUCGAUUUGCGUAAAAUUAGAAUUUCGGUGUUUUACAUGAGAGAGCAUAUUUAGUUGGUGUAUAUAUUCCAAAAGAGAGUAGAAAAGGGCAUUGUAUAUUUUAUCUGACGAAAUACAUUCAGAGCAAUUUUGCUGUUACCAUUGGGGUGCCUAGAUAAUAUUUAGAUUUCAUUAGAUUAACGUAAAUUUAGAAUUUCGGUAUUUUACAUGAGAGAGCAUAUUGAGUUGGUCCAUAUACUCCAAAACCGAGGAGAAAAGGGCAUUGUAUAUUUUUUCUGACAGAUUAUAAUCAGAGCCAUUUUCUUUCAACAUUGGGGUGUCUAGAUAAUAUUUAGAUUUUUUUCAAUUCGCGUAUAAUAAGAAUUUCGGUAUUUUAUAUGAGAGAGCAUAUUGGGUUUGUGUAUAUACUCCAAAACGAAGUAGAAAAGGGUAUUGUAUAUUUUUUUCUGACAGACUAUAUUCAGAGCAAUUUUGCUUUCAACAUUGGGGUGCCUAGGUAAUAUUUAGAUUUUUUUCGAUUCGCGUAAAUUUAGAAUUUCGGUAUUUUACAUGAGAGAGCAUAUUGAAUUGGUGUAUAUACUCCAAAACAGAGUAGAAAAGGGCAUUGUGUAUUUUUUCUGACAGAUUAUAUUCA